UACCAACUACGUAUUCACCAUGAUUAAAUAGAGCCGAAUGAAAUAACGAAAGACGUAGAGGAGAAUAACUUUCAUCGUUGAACAUGGUUACUUUAAAAAAUAGUUAUCACGAAUAUCUACACAGAAACAGAGAGAAUAUUUUGUAAACAUUUUAAAAAAUAAAGUAUUAAUCACAAUCCUUGAGGUUCAAAACAAGUUUUACUCAUCUGUAGCAAAUUACAUCAGCAAUAAAACUAUCAAUGUCAACUGAACGUGUCCGUACUGAGCAUGCGCGCAUGCGCAUGUUAUAAUAAAUAACUUAUUAUAGCGUGUGUAUGUGUUUUGUGUGUGUGUGUGUGUGUGUGUGUGUAAGUGAAAAAAAUACGUCUAUUACGUUCGUUUUUUCAAACAAGAUUCAAAAAAAAGAUAAUUCUAUCGUUUCACUAUAUUUUCUUGAAGUAGUUAAAUUUUCGAUCCACCCUAACGUUUCCAUGACAAUAAAUGGGAUCAAAGUCUAAUCGCAUAACGCAUGCGGCCAAGUGAUAUGACGAUCCAUCAACUUGUUGCGAAUAUUUCCGAUGAUUCCUUUGGAAGGAUGGAUUACGUAAAUCGAUCUGAUAAUAUUUUUAAAACGAUUGAAAUGCAUACCAGUGAUACUUAGAUUGUUGUACAUUUUUUGAUAACUCGAGAUAAAAAGAAAAGUAUCGUACGAUAGAAGUUAGCCAUUGACGAUUGCCCAAGCAUUUAUCAUGCUCGUUAGCAAAUAAUCGUUAGUCACACAAGAAGACUCAACACUUAGUCAAUCUGCUUCACUUACUGCUCGUUCGUUAAUAUCAACGUGCGUCGAUAGGGACUAUACUUUACUGACAGUAAAAGGCAUGCCGGGCAUACCUUAACAACUUAAGUUCUUUUUUGAUCAUGAAAAUCCCCCAAAAAAAGCGAAACAAACAAUCAAAAUAUAAAAAUAUCUAUAAGACAAUUUGAUUAAUACCGAUGGCAUAUCUCGAUGAAUAACUUAUUAUAACAUAGUAUUACAUGUUCUAAACAUAUAAUAAAAAGAAAUAGAUAGAGGAUAUAGAUACUUGUUUAAGUUUACUUGUACUUAACUAUUAACUGUUUAAAUAUUAAAAUAUAUAAUAAAUUUUAAGUACUUAUUUAGCAUACACCUGAUAUAAAAAUAUACAGCAAAUGAUAACGAGAAGAUAAAAAUGAAAUUAUAAUGAAUAAUAUAAUACGAAAAUCCAUCUUAUUAUAGCAAACAAUUUUCAAAAAUAAAUAUAAUUAUUACUUCAUUUGAUUAUACGCAUUAUGAUGGGAUUUAAGUUCGUAGCAAAAAUGUAAUAGCUUGACAUUGUGAUUAGAUCUAUAGAAGUUCGACUAUGAUCGAUUGACCUUAGAUACAUAUAUAAUAUAUUCGAUAGAUUUUAUAUGCGCAUCUAGGACCAGUACCAUCUCCAGCAUAAUAAUUAAACUCAAUGACCCCGACUUUAUUGGGGUCAAGUGAGUUGCAACGAACUUCGUCAGUUCGGUCUAUCCGUACUAGUGACCCUUUCUUUACCAGUUGCUGUUAUAUAAGGCUUUCACACGUUUCAAAGAAAUCAUAUUUUCAUAAUGAAUAUGGAAAAUGAAUAAUGAUACGAUGAGUAAUAAAAUAAUGAAUAAUAAAACGAUAAAAAUGAUAAACAAUAAUGAGGAAAGAUAUUAACAAUAUUCAUUAAAAAUAAAAAAAAUAAAAAUAUUGAAUAUUUUGCUAUAUCUUAUAAUAUAUAUAAUUAAGGGUAAGAAAAAGAAAAAAAGAGUAAUAACAUAUGAAUCAAAUUAACAUACUUUGGAAAAUUAUAAUAUUUAUAUAAUCAAUCUAAAUAUUUAAAAGUUUGCAAAAAAAAAAGAAAAAAAAAUUAAUAUAAAAUGUAAAUUCUAAAUAUAAUAUUUAAGUAAUUACUAGCCAAAGUUUUAUUACUAUCACAAACACACACACACACGCACACACAAAAGUUAUAAAUUCACAAUUUUAAUGUGAGAAUAUUUCUAAAAAAUUAAGAAGAAGAAAAAAGAAAUAAAAUCUCCAAAUUGAAAUCCUUGGAUUAUUUUUUGUCAGAACGAUUCAAAUAAUAUAUAUAUAUAUAUAUAUAUACUAUUUUAUAAUAUAUUAUAUAUUAUAUAUAUUAUAUACUAACAAUUACACUUACGUAUUACAUUAAUAAUUAUAUAUUAAACUUAUAAAUUUAUUAAAAAUAUCUUUUCUCUUUUACCUAUAUAUACAUACCGAAAUUUUUUUUUAAGUAAAUAUAAUCGUUAUUUAUAAAUAGCAAACAUAUUAAUUAUAUGAUGGUAUUAUAUAUUCUGCUUAUAUUAAAUACGGACACUUCCGUAGCAUAACACAAAAGUAAAAAUUAUCACGGUCCAUUGAUCACGUGAGUAACGUUUUUAUCUAAGCUAUAUUUAGAACUAUAUGCAUACAAUAGAGUGUGCAAUUAAUGUCUCAUAUCGAACUAUUAUUAGAUGAUUGACAAAACAAUCGUCUUAAAUCAAUACUUUAUAAUUUAUACAUAAAUAUAUAAGCAUUAAUUGUAAGAAAAAUAUUAUAGUGUUAAAUUUCUUAAUUUACGAAACAUUUUUAAUUCGUAAAUUAAGAAAUUUAAUUAAAAAACAAUCGUAU